UACGUAGGGUGCGAGCGUUGUCCGGAAUUAUUGGGCGUAAAGAGCUCGUAGGCGGUGUGUCGCGUCGGCCGUGAAAACCUGCAGCUUAACUGUGGGCGUGCGGUCGAUACGGGCAUCACUGGAGUUCGGCAGGGGAGACUGGAAUUCCUGGUGUAGCGGUGAAAUGCGCAGAUAUCAGGAGGAACACCGAUGGCGAAGGCAGCUCGCUGGGACGGUACUGACGCUGAGGCGCGAAAGCGUGGGGAGCAAACAGG
rnacentral:rRNA from 1 species